GACGAACGCUGGCGGCGUGCUUAACACAUGCAAGUCGAACGGAAAGGCCCUGCUUUUGUGUGGUGCUCGAGUGGCGAACGGGUGAGUAACACGUGAGUAACCUGCCCUUGACUUUGGGAUAACUUCAGGAAACUGGGGCUAAUACCGGAUAGGAGCUCCUGCUGCAUGGUGGGGGUUGGAAAGUUUCGGCGGUUGGGGAUGGACUCGCGGCUUAUGAGCUUGUUGGUGGGGUAGUGGCUUACCAAGGCUUUGACGGGUAGCCGGCCUGAGAGGGUGACCGGCGACAUUGGGACUAAGAUACGGCGCAGACUCGUACGGGAGGCAGCAGUGGAGAGUAUGGCACAAUGGGCGGACGCCUGAUGCGGCGGCGCCGCGUGCGGGAUGACGGCCUUCGGGUGGUGAACCGCUUUCGCCUGUGACGAAGCGUGAGUGACGGUAAUGGGUAAAGAAGCACCGGCUAACUACGUG
rnacentral:rRNA from 1 species